UGAUGCAGCUCGGGGGCCGCGAUCCGAUCCUCGAUGCUGCUGUUCUUCGCGCUGCUGCUUGCUGCUGAGAAACGAACGGAAACAGGAAAAGAAACGGGGAAAAACAAAUGAGGAGGUGUCAUGAGGUCCUACAAAUCCAUUCUCCCAAGCUACAAGAACCAGAAAGAGGAAGAGGUUUUGUCCGAAAGUUUUCAAGGAGGAGAAUUUUUUUACCUGGCCUGCCCGUUGUCUCGCAGCAGCUGACCAAAAAAAUGAAGAGAAUUGUGCUCAACUUCACCAACAUGCUACACUGGCAUCCUUGUUAUUAAUGAGAGAAGGAGAAAAAAGAAUCAA